rnacentral:antisense_RNA from 1 species
CAGAGUACCUGGAAUUACAGUCUAAAGAAGAGGGAGGAGCAGUCUGACAAUCCGGAGGAGCAAGACUGGCCCAAAACACUUUCCUUGAUUGGUGGAGACAUUCUGGAGGAGGAGCCAAGCUCUGGGCUAAAGUUUACAGGACUCCCAGCGGUUCCUCUUACAGGUGGCAGAGUGUGGGCAACUGAAACCCAGCCAGCAGGAGAGAGAGAUUUGGGGGAAGGCCAAUGCCAGUGUCAUGACACUGCUCUUCACAAACAACUGAGGACUUCUAGAAAUCUCUGCUGUGCAGUGUCCACCAAAGAAAUUCUGAAAAUUAAAUGCUGUAUUGAAUACACAGGUAAAAGCAAAC